GAUAAGUGAACUACCCUAUUGACCCUGCUCGGGGUAUGGCUUUGGCAGAUCAAUAAGGUCGGAGCUACCCUAUUAUUUAAGGACCUUUAUUUUGGCAGGAGCAUAUGUGUAUUGGUGAUUCAGAGUUCCUCGCUCCCUGGCAUUUCCGGUUCAGUUUCAGUUCCCGGUUCAGUUCAGGUACGUUGAGGCUUUGCUCAGGGUGUAAUGAGGUGAACAUUUCAAGGCUAAUUUGUUUAUUUAUAGUUUUGGAGCGGCGCUGGUGGCGCGUGCGUUCAGUGAUAGUAACAUUAGCCGCGCGUGCGUAAUCAUACAACUUCGUGUCUGGUGUUUGUUCAACCCAAUAGAAGCAGUGAGUCUUGGUGGACAGGGGAAGCUAGCUGCCUUCAUUCGGUGGUGUGUGCUUCACAGCGUGCUCAGUGUACCAGCUCAACAACUUCCUUAUGGUGUAGGUAGUGUUUAAUGAUUUGGUUUUAAUUAAGGUGGGUUUGGAUGACCUCCCAGGAAGUAACUGGCCUGCCUUGUUCCCACCAAGCCUGGGCCUGGAGAAUUGCUUAGUUUUAAAAUUCUUAUUGUGCUACAUGGGAGAGCGACUUUAUAUUUAUAAGUUUUAAUGAUGCUUAAGUGUGAUAAUAAAAUGUAACUUUUAUUGA